UAAAAGUCAGGUCGGAUUAAGCCAUAGUACGGAAAAAGCUGUGCUACCUGUGAGCCCCGUCCAAGGACGUUAAAAGAAGUCAGGCCAUCACGAAAUGCCACGGCUUGAGUAAACCGUGCAGCCUGUAGCUCCACCUGAGGAGGUGUAAAAAACCUGGGAGGCCACAAACCAUGGAAGCUGUACGCAUGGAGUAGUGGACUAGCGGUUAGAGGAGACCCCUCCCUUACAAAUCGCAGCAAACAACGGGGGCCCAAGGUGAGAUGAAGCUGUAGUCUCACUGGAAGGACUAGAGGUUAGAGGAGACCCCCCCAAAACAAAAAAC
rnacentral:lncRNA from 1 species